GGGCCCAUAGCUCAGCUGGUUAGGAGCGCCGCCUUCACACGGCAGAGGUCAGAGGUUCGAGUCCUCUGGGCCCACCA
rnacentral:tRNA from 1 species